rnacentral:rRNA from 1 species
AUCGUGGGCGUAGGAUAUUUGAGAGGCUUUGUCCCUAGUACGAGAGGACCGGGAUGAACGCACCAAUUGUGCACCUGUUGUCGUGCCAACGGCAUAGCAGGGUAGCGAAGUGCGGAUGAGAUAAACGCUGAAAGCAUCUAAGCGUGAAACUCGCCUCAAGAUAAGAUAUCCCAAACUUAAGUUUGUAAGACCCCUUGAAGACAACAAGGUUGAUAGGUCGGGGGUGUAAGCGCUGAGAGGCGUUGAGCUGACCGAUACUAAUAGGUCGAGGGCUUAUUCUC